GAGUUUGAUCCUGGCUCAGCCUGAACGCUGGCGGCGUGGCUAAGACAUGCAAGUCGAACGGGACCCGCAAGGGUUCAGUGGCGGACGGGUGAGUAAUGUAUCGCUAAUGUACCCCGGAGUCAGGGAUAGCUGCCCGAAAGGGCAGGUAAUACCUGAUGAUACAACUUGGUCGCAUGGCCGGGUUUUCAAAGGAGCAAUCCGCUCUGGGAGCAGGCGAUAUCGUAUCAGCUUGUUGGUGAGGUAACGGCUCACCAAGGCGACGACGCGUAGCUGGUCUGAGAGGACGGCCAGCCACAUCGGGACUGAGACACUGCCCGGACUCCUACGGGGGGCUGCAGUAACGAAUCUUCCGCAAUGCACGAAAGUGUGACGGAGCGACGCCGCGUGUGGGACGAAGUCCUUCGGGAUGUAAACCACUGUCAGGGGUAAGAAAGUUCUGAUCUACCCCAGAGGAAGGCACGGCUAACUCUGUGCCAGCAGCCGCGGUAAGACAGAGGUGCCGAGCGUUAGGCGGAAUCACUGGGCUUAAAGCGUGUGUAGGCGGGUCGUUAAGUGCCUUGUGAAAUCCCACCGCUCAACGGUGGAACUGCUUGGCAUACUGGCGAUCUUGAGCCACUUAGGGGCAACCGGAACAAACGGUGGAGCGGUGAAAUGCGUAGAUAUCGUUUGGAACGCCAAUGGUGAAAACAGGUUGCUGGGAGUGCGCUGACGCUGAGACACGAAAGCCAGGGGAGCAAGCGGGAUUAGAUACCCCGGUAGUCCUGGGCCGUAAACGAUGUCGACUAGAUCGUGGCAGCUCU
rnacentral:rRNA from 1 species